GUCGGACCGAUUUCGGACUAAUCCAGAAUUUGUGCGCAACAGUACUGUUUAUUGUGGAGUUUUUCACCCUGAAUUAAGUUUAAAAUCAAUACCGUUUUUUUAUAACUAUUGAAUCCGUUAUUAGUCCGGUUUAGUCCGAAGUUAGUCAGAUCAUAUGCAACUAGUAAAUAAUGGUACGUAAAUCUAUUUAUUGCGGAGAGCCACAAGUAGCAGAUGUUGAUCGUUCCUUUCACACUUACAACAGCAUUUAUAGGAAGAGAAAAUUGCAUCCACUGAUACUGCUGUAGCAGAAAGUCAUAUACAUAAUUAUAUGCAAAGAAGAAUAAUAUUUUUGCACAAUCAGCCAUGAUACUUACAACAACCGAUGGAUAAAGAAAUAUACAAUUGUCUACGGCCUUCACUAAUUUUGUGUUUUAAAUGCAUAUUUUUAAUUUCAAAAAUUUACUGAUGUCCAAUAUAAAAAUUUAUUUAUAAUGGACUUUUCUAAACUAGUAUUUUUAAAAAUAUGGUAUAAAUUUGUUCAGGAAAUUUUUAAUUGUAAAUAUAAAAAAAUACCAUUCAUUUCUAGUAAUGAAAUUUGACAAGAUUUUAAUACAAAUAAAUUUGAAUUAAUUAACAA